GUGCCGCUGCAUCAAACUUUGCAAAGGAGCUGAGCAGCUUACAGAUGUCCAGUGGGGACUUGCCUAUCCUGAUAUACGAGAUGACUGUUCAUGGUUGUCCCUACAAUGAAUACCAGCUUCUUGGCAAUUCCGUCCAAGCCUUAUUGAACAACAAUGACCUGAAUAUUGUGGGAUGUGACAUGAUGGAUAUUUUGGGUAUGCUGGAAGUGGAGGA
rnacentral:lncRNA from 1 species